GUGCUGUGCUCUGGUUGGGGCAGGGGGCCAGGUGAGCACUCUCGCAGGCCUGGAUGGAGGAGCUCCACUCCCCUUUUGGCUGAGCAGCCUUUGCACGUUCCUGGCCUCCCUGUGUCCGAUUGCAUAGAGGGUGGGAGGGGACAGAGAUGCCCACAGCCCCGCGAGCCUAGGAUUCUGGGGCUUCCUUCACUGUCUUCACAGAAGCCGAAAGACAAUCUAUUCCUGACUCCAACUCCCAGCUGCACAGAAAGGAAAAGAAAACACCUGACUGCAGCUGAGAACGGGUCUCUCCAGGUCUUAACAACCCAUCUCGCUGUUUAGCGAAGUUCCACGCUGGAGGGAGUAGCGGGUGGGCAUGCCCCGCCCCCCUGGGGUGCUGGAGACCCGGGACUUUGCAGAAACAGCCCCCGAGGGGCAAGGGCGCCUGGUCGGCGGAUCUGUUCACUGUCGUCUCAGUGCCAGCUCGGCUCUGCGUCUUGGGACCCAGAGUGAAGACACCGUGGUUCCCGCCCUCUUACAGUCCGAGCGUCAUUUUCUGGGCGGGGUCACCCAGGCCCCACGAGGGGAAGGGGCUGGCCCCAGCUCCGUCAGUGAUCCGGAGGCAGCCAGGGCUAGUGGGAGGAGAGCUAUACGGCCUUGACUUCUCGGGCCCGCGGUUCAGGACCCUGACGAUGGCUGUAGCAGGCAUGCUAGGUACUCCUCACCCUCGGAGCUCCAUCCAAGUUCCUCCUAUGUGUUGGUCUGCUUCAUCCCCACCACACCCACAUGAGGGGAAGAGGACCUCCGUCGCUCUCUUUGUCCCAGAAUCCCACAUGGUCAGCCUUGCAUCUUUCCCAACCACUCAUCCACUGUGCGGAUGGGAACGUGAGCUCAGAGGCAGCAAGUGACUGGCCCAAGGUCCCACAGCCAGAGCAUGGAGUCCCCGGCUGGCGGGACACCGGGCACUCGAUAGUCUAGGGGCUUGGGAGUGUCCUCAGGCCCCCACCCCGGCCCCAGGAGAUGUCCACAGGGCAGGCAACCCUCCAGGGGGCACAGCAGCAGCAGAGAAGAGCUCUUCUCACUCAGCCCAGUCUCAGACGCCUGUGUCCCACAUGGAUGCCCCUCCAGUGCUGGUCCUGGGCUUCCUGCACCAAUGGGGCCAUGCUUGUGAGGGACAGAAACCAGCUGUCCCAUAAAGAGACUCUGCAGUAUUGACAUCACCACGUUAGGGGUGCAGCAGGGGUGUGUGUGGCAGAAGAUGCCGGGGCUGGGCGGCUCUGCCUCUAGGCACCUGCUGCCCCAAGGGAGUCUCUCUUCUCUGAGCACCUUCUUUUCAUUUGCACAAAG
ensembl:lncRNA